GAUAAUACCGGAUAAAUCAUAGAUGCUGGAAUGCUCUGUGAUUAAAAGCUCCGGCGCCUUAGGAUGGAUCUGCGGCCUAUCAGGUAGUAGUGGGUGUAAUGUACCUACUAGCCUACGACGGGUACGGGUUGUGAGAGCAAGAGCCCGGAGAUGGAUUCUGAGACAUGAAUCCAGGCCCUACGGGGCGCAGCAGGCGCGAAAACUUUACAAUGCGGGAAACCGCGAUAAGGGGACACUGAGUGCCAGCACCAUGUGUUGGCUGUCCGCAUGUAUAAAUAACAUGUGUUAGCAAGGGCCGGGCAAGACCGGUGCCAGCCGCCGCGGUAACACCGGCGGCCCGAGUGGUGGCCAUUAUUAUUGGGUCUAAAGGGUCCGUAGCCGGUUUGAUCAGUCUUCCGGGAAAUCUGACAGCUCAACUGUUAGGCUUCUGGGGGAUACUGUCAGACUUGGAACCGGGAGAGGUAAGAGGUACUACAGGGGUAGGAGUGAAAUCUUGUAAUCCUUGUGGGACCACCAGUGGCGAAGGCGUCUUACCAGAACGGGUUCGACGGUGAGGGACGAAAGCUGGGGGCACGAACCGGAUUAGAUACCCGGGUAGUCCCAGCCGUAAACGAUGCUCGCUAGGUGUCUGGGACGGUGCGACCGUUUCAGGUGCCGCAGGGAAGCCGUGAAGCGAGCCACCUGGGAAGUACGGCCGCAAGGCUGAAACUUAAAGGAAUUGGCGGGGGAGCACUACAACGGGUGGAGCCUGCGGUUAA
rnacentral:rRNA from 1 species